CUCUCCCGCCAGGGACCAGUGAGUGAACACUCACUGGUCCAGUCAUGAGGAAUUCAGCAUCCUCCUGACGGGAGGCGCCUCUUUCCCAGAAGCGGUGGGUCAGGAGGAAUCUGACUAAACCCUGUGUUGCCGGCCCGGAAGGCGCGGUUGCCGCCGGGGCCUCGAGGUUGUGGGCGAGGAGUAAUCCUCCCGCCGGGACCGACCCGCAGAUCCAGGAGGCCGAAACCCGAGGGCGGAGCACCAGGGUGCUGAGGCGACCGGAAAGGCGGCCAGGACCUUCCGGUCGCCUCGGCCCACCACCCACAGUGUCCGCGCAGCCCUAAAGCCUGGCAGACGCAGGGCGCACGCGGCCUUUGCCUCGGCCAGGACAGGGCGGCGGGGAGAGGGCUGCUAGACAACAAUUCUUGACCCCUCCUCGACCUACGACCGCCGGCCAGGACUAAAAGAAGUGGUAGAAUCCUGUCGAGGAAAAAAUCUUUUUUUUUCUACCAAUAUUGAUGAUGCCAUCAAAGAAGCUGAUCUUGUAUUUAUUUCUGUGAAUACUCCAACAAAAACCUAUGGAAUGGGGAAAGGCCGGGCAGC
rnacentral:sRNA from 1 species